AUUGAACGCUGGCGGCAGGCCUAACACAUGCAAGUCGAACGAGUUGCGGACGGGUGAGUAAUGUCUGGGAAACUGCCUGAUGGAGGGGGAUAACUACUGGAAACGGUAGCUAAUACCGCAUACCAUCGGAUGUGCCCAGAUGGGAUUAGCUAGUAGGUGGGGUAAAGGCUCACCUAGGCGACGAUCCCUAGCUGGUCUGAGAGGAUGACCAGCCACACGGGAACGGGGACACGGUCCAGACUCCUACGGGAGGCAUGAGUGGGGAAUAGGGAAAAAGGGGAGCAAGCAUGAGGCAGCCAUGCCGAGGGUAUGAAGAAGGCCUUCGGGUUGGAAAGUACUUUCAGCGGGGAGGCGUUACCCUCAGAAGAAGCACCGGCUAACUCCGUGCCAGCAGCCGCGGUAAUAC
rnacentral:rRNA from 1 species